AGCCUAGCGCUAAGGCUUAAUGUGGUUGUGUCAUAGCAAUCAAUUGAAAAGCAUUAAGCGGUGCAGCGUUACAAACCUUGGUGUUUAGUAAUAUCAAUGUAGUGUUUACUUGCAAUUGGGCAACUAAUUGUCUGUAUGCAUUGCUUUGGGCCUAGCGUACAAGUCCCAUUGACUUGGGCUUAUUCUUCAAUUGAGAUGUCUACGAGUUUGGGGCAACUUGGACUCGUGGAUGAGCCAUAGAGGGUGAAAGUCCCUUAAUGCGCAGGUAUUGGUAUUACGAACCGGGGCAGUGGCGUUUGGUCAAACAAACGUUGCGAUUUGUUAGAGUCAGGUUGCUUGAGAGUGCAACCUAAAGAGCGAGGUAAACUGCUCGUAAGGCUAUUUAAAUACGGCUACGACACCGAUAGCAAACAAGUACCGUGAGGGAAAGUUGCAAAGUACUUUGAAGAGAGAGUUAAACAGGGCGUGAAACCGCUAGCUGGUAAACGAGUGGAGCCACGAAGUCGUUUCGUAGAAUACGAGGUGCAAAUUCAGCUAAGGUCCCUAAAAAGGCUUUGGCGUAUUUUUGCUUGCCUCGCUACUGUAAGCGUACACUGCAACCAAUUAGACGGCCAAUUGUGGAACGAGUUUGCAAGUUUAACAGGGAAACUUGUUGCUUGUAAGCGAAAUUAUUUGUGUAUUUACUGUAGGUAGCCUGAAUAUACUUUCGAGUUUAUUUGGGUGUCUGACAAUUAACGUAAAUACGUGAACUACAAUUGGGCACUGAUUGGCGAAAUGAAAAUCGAUUCGUAAGAUUCGUGCAUUCAUAGAAAGCGAUUGGCAUUGUUAUUAUAAUACAAUUGUACACUACUAGUACAAGCUUAGUAUUUUUGAAUUCAGGCGCGUGUAUUGUCAAUGGGCUUGCUUGUUGAUAUAUGCGAUGUUUCCUGUCUAAUCGGGUAUUAACUUUACUGGCAGUUUGAUACAAUUGCUACGAUAGUUGUGAUACAGUAGCUAAUUUGCAAUCAUUGGCAGUGAGUAGGUCGGCUUUCCACACGACCCGUCUUGAAACACGGACCAAGGAGUCUAGUUAAGUAUCGAGUCGAUCGGUCUUGAAUAGGCCAGACAUUCGUAGGUAGUUGGUAAAACAGCUACGCUGACGGAUAUUUUCAAUAAUAAUGACGGCUCAGUGAAAUCAAAUUCUAUGUGAUCUGAGGUCUAUAACAACGGCCUACAGCGCAACAUAUGCCUACUCGUAUGGUUAUACGCGCAAGUGUUAACCGAGUGGAGCAAAGAGAUGCUUGACUGGUACCCGAAAGAUGGUGAACUAUUCCUGGCCAGAUUGAAGCCAGAGGAAACUCUGGUGGAGGAUUGUAGCGAUUCUGACGUGCAAAUCGAUCGUCAGAGCUGGGUAUAGGGGCGAAAGACUAAUCGAACCAUCUAGUAGCUGGUUCCCUCCGAAGUUUCCCUCAGGAUAGCAAGCUCUCGCAUGAAUGUGAAUCAGUUUCAUCUGGUAAAGCGAAUGAUUAGAGGCAUUGGGAGCGAAACGCUCUCAACCUAUUCUCAAACUUUAAAUGGGUGAGAUGUACGACGUACUUAACUGACGCCGUAACUACAAGAAUGUAUUGAGAGCUUAGUGGGCCAUUUUUGGUAAGCAGAACUGGCGAUGCGGGAUGAACCGAAAGUGAAGUUAAGGUUGCCGAUAAUGGUGUUAUUCACAUUAACACUAGAUACACUCAUGAGAUCCCAUGAAAGGUGUAAGUUGCUAAAGACAGCAAGGACGUGGCCAUGGAAGUCGGAAACAUCUAAGGAGUGUGUAACAACUCACUUGCCGAAGCAACUUGCCCUGAAAAUGGAAGCAGCUCGAGUGUUGAACCUAUACUUCACCGUUGAAUUAUCGAUUCGUACACUUACGAUUAGUUAUGAUUCAACGUGUAGGAGGGUUGUGUUGGUAGCGUUGAAGGCUAUGAGGGAGUGAUCCUGGCUGGAGCUGCCAAUAGUACAGAUCUUGGUGGUAGUAGCAAAUACUCAAGUGAGACCCUUGAGGGCCAAUGUGGAGAAGGGUUCCAUGCUAACAGCAAUUGGACAUGGGUCAGUCGGUCCUAAGAGAAUGGCGAAAGCUAUUUCUGAAUCAAAGGCGGUGUAAGCAAACUAAACGCAAAUAAUAUCGUUCAUAUACAUAAAACAUGUAUUUAUACAUAUAUAUACACACGUACGCUAAAUACGCUCAAUCGUUAGGUAGCACAACUAGGUUAAAAUCCUAAGAUGUGUCUACGUUCAAACGCGUUUGUAGCUUAUGUCUGCCAAAUGUGUGUAACAAACAUUUAUAUAUACAAUGAUACGUGUAUGAACUUUAUUGCGCAUAUAGAAAACACCGUAUGACUCGAAAGGGAAUUAGGUUAAUAUUCCUAAACCAAGAUGGGGAGAUUGCUAGUUGUAUGGUUAUAUCUCAUAACUGUGCAAUUAGCAUUGGCGGUAACGCAAACAAGCACGAUGACGCCGGCGGCAGUCCUGGGAAGAG
rnacentral:rRNA from 1 species